rnacentral:lncRNA from 1 species
GGUGUAUGUGCUCAGAUGCAGAGUAUGUGCACAGAUGCAGGGUAUGGAUGCUGAGGUGAGAGGGCAGCCCGUGGGAGCAGGUUUCCUCUCUUCUACCACAUAGCUUCUAGGGAUUGGGGCUCUAACUCAAGUGACCAGCCUCGACAGCAAGCACAUCUGUUGAGGCUUCUUGCUUAGGCUCUGUUAACCAGUCUCUUAGACACAUACCCAGCUAGGAGUUUUUUCUUUUUUGGUAGUACUUGAGAUUGAACCUAGAGCUAAGACAUACCGAGCAAGCACUCUAUUACGGGUCUCCAGCUCCAGCUAUGCACUCGAGGCUGGUGUUGACUUCCUGAUCCUCUGCCUCCACCCUGAAUACGAGGAUAACAGAUGUGUGCCAGUGUGGCUGGCUUAAUUUUUUAUUUUGAGAUAGGGUUUGUUUUGUGUUUUUGUUUUAAUUUCACAGACUAGCUUUGAAUGUGUAACCACCUACCUCAGCCUAUGGGAUUACAAGUCUAUGCCACGAGGCCUAGCUUAGAAUUUCUAGUUUUCAAAAUUAUACUUACAGAGGGGCAGGGUAUGUGUGUACCGUGGCCUGUGGGUGUCAGGUUGUUUCUUUCCUUCUAUUGUGUGUGUCUCGGGGAUGGAAUCAGGUCAUCAAGCUUAGCAGCAUCACUAGCCCUGGAUAUUUAUAUACAAGUAGAAGCAGGUAUAAGUCUAUCUGCAUUCUUACUUUUUUGGCACGGAAAGUUUUCUACUAGUCUGUGUUUCAUUGAAGUUUAGUGCACCGUGGAUCUGCGUUACGUUAACUCCCUGUUAAUGUGGAUGCGGGCAGUUUGCAGUUUUCUAGUUGGGGGGUGUAUGUCCAUGUAUUCUACAUGCAUGUGUAUGUAUGGAUAUGAAAACGAGCACUGAAGCCAGAGCAGGGCUCCAGAUGUUCUCUAUCCCUCUGCCUUAUUGCGACGUGACAGUCUUUGAUUGACCCUGGAGUUAGGCUGGCAGCCACCAAGGCUGUGAUCUCUACCUUAUAGAUUCCUAUUUUCUGUUUUUUUUUUUUGUUUUUUUUAAGAUUUAUUUAUUGUUAUAUGUAAGUACACUGUAGCUGUCCUCAGACAUUCCAGAAGAGGGCAUCGGAUCUCAUUGCAGAUGGUUGUGAGCCACCAUGUGGUUGCUGGGAUUUGAACUCAGGACUUUUGGAAGAACAGUCAGUGCUCCUAUCCACUGAGCCAUCUCUCCAGCCCCGAGAUUCCUGUUUUCUAUUCUUUACAAAGGACUUCUGUUCCUCAUGCUUACACAGCAGGCGCUUGCCUGCCUAGCCACCUCCCCAGAACAGCAGUAAAUAACUUUUUCCCUAGGUCAUUUGUGAUAUGUGAAAAUACAUCUGAAAUGCAGUUCCUCAAUUGUGCAUUAGCCCAAGGCCUGUGGUCAUGAGCUAAGUAAGACAAGCAGAAGCUCUCUAGCCUGUGUAGCCGGGCUGCCUCAUAUCUAUCCUGAGCGCCUGGCAAGGGAGGCGAGUGGGCAAAAGCUGCCAGUCGCUCGCUCUCUCUCUCUCUCUCUCUCUCUCUCUCUCUCUCUCUCUCUCUCUCUCUCUCUCUCAGAAGCACUUGUUGAAAGCCGGUUUCCGUCCUGAGGGUCCGUGCUCCCUGCCUUGGGAUGGACAGGAAUGGGAAGAACUGUUGACUUCUGUCAUCAAGUCUCACUUCAUAUUACUUUGAUUUGUGCCUUUUCUAGAGAAUUCUUG